rnacentral:rRNA from 1 species
AAUUGACGGGGGCCCGCACAAGCGGAGGAACAUGUGGUUUAAUUCGAUGAUACGCGAGGAACCUUACCUGGGCUUAAAUGUAGGUUGCAUGAUGUGGAAACACACUUCCCUUCGGGGCUACCUACAAGGUGCUGCAUGGUUGUCGUCAGCUCGUGCCGUGAGGUGUCGGGUUAAGUCCCAUAACGAGCGCAACCCCUACCGUUAGUUGCCAUCAGGUUAAGCUGGGAACUCUAACGGGACUGCCACCGUAAGGUGAGAGGAAGGUGGGGAUGACGUCAAAUCAGCACGGCCCUUAUGUCCAGGGCUACACACGUGUUACAAUGGCCGGUACAGAGGGCAGCUACACCGCGAGGUGAUGCUAAUCCUUAAAGCCGGUCCCAGUUCGGAUCGUAGUCUGCAACCCGACUACGUGAAGUUGGAUUCGCUAGUAAUCGCGCAUCAGCCAUGGCGCGGUG